rnacentral:tRNA from 1 species
UUAAAUUUAGUUUAAGGAAAAUAAUUCAUUUACAUUGAAGAGAUUUUUAUUUGGAAAAUUUAAA